CAACAGACUCCCGCGUAAAAAUAGAAAACCAAAUAAAUCUUCUCCACUCUUUGAGGACGCCGGCUUCCUGCCCCUGCCACACCGGCUGUGCGUGAUGUAUUCCCGCCGCGCUCUUUAUGCCGCGUCAUCGCAGCCCCAAAGUUGUUUACAAAUGAAUUUAAUUGAUCAAUCAAAGCGAGUGAAGAUCAAAAAAUAAAAAGAAAAUGGAGAGAGAAACGAGAUCAAAGCAGUGCGGGCCCAAAACAGACAAAUGCCAUACAAGCAGCGACAAGCCGAACAUGCAGCAAUCAGCCAGCAAGGGGCAACACCACAUUAGACAUGUUCUCCGGUCUUUCAGUCACUCACUCACUCACUCAGUCAGCCGUUCAGUCAGUCAGUCAUCCAGCCAUUCCGAUCACUUCAUGUCCAUUUGGCCCCUCCACUUCGGGCUGAAGAUUCAUUGCAGCACAUUGCAUCCAGCGCGGAGCUGGCUGGCAGCGUUGUUUUGAUUGGUAUCACUCAAUGAACUUUGAUUGUUGUAAAUGUAAUUAAUCAAUAACACAAACAUUUACACAACAUGCAACCAGGCAGCCGGAGAGGGACAGGGGCUCCGGGCCCCUUAGCAUCUUAAUCAACUCCAAUUGUGCUGAAAAACGACUGGAGAUUGUUGUGACAUUGGGUCUGGUCUUGCCAAGUCUGGACUCGGUCAAUGGUUGAUAAGUUGCGAAGAUAAAUUGUUCAGCACCGCUUAUAAGGCGAUUCGAUUGGCCAGCGAGUGCAACUUGGCGGCUGAAAGUCAAAUGUUGCAACACUCGCUGGCAGCAACACUACCAACUGCAACUAAACAUCCGGCGGAGGUCAGAACGGCAAAUCCCAUAAAUAACCCAACCGAAACGAGCCGUACGAAAACCGAUCCCCUCUGGAUUGAACUGAAUAAUGGUUUACAAAAUAUUUUUGUGUUUCAGCGAUUAAAACGAGAGGCUAAUCGGCUGCAAGGGUGGCUGGUGGCGGUGAGAAAUCAGCGCUCCAACAAUAAUAGCUGAAAAAUUUGUAAAUAUUUCAUAAAUGGGACAUAAAUUAACACAACUAAUGCCAUAAACUACAGCAGUGGCAACAACAAUAA